UUCAUUGGCAGAUAUUUUAUGCUCAUUUCUGAGGUGCAAUGCGGAGAUAAAUUAGAAGUUGAAACACAUCAUAGAAGAAUAAGCAGAGCUAUACACAUACAAGAAGACCGUGUGACCACUGGUGUUUGUUGUUUCCUCAUUGGUCAAGCUGGCUCAAGGGUCUGCACUAUCACAGAGUAGCAGAGGUGUUCAAGAGCGCAGGGGGCUCUUUGCAGGUGAGCAUACUGUUAAGGACACCCCAUGCUGCUACUGCACCCUCUGGCAAACCUGUCACAGAACAGCUGCUUGGAAAUACCGCGUGCUUCCCAGUGAGAGCAAACAGCCAAACUCCAGCUGGACCACACUCUGCCUUCAGUUAUCAGUAAGCAACUCUUAGCUCGUCUGCUUCUAUAUUAUGUCCUAUAUUAAGUACUAUUAUUAUGUCCAAUAUUAAACACUAUUAUUAUGUCCAUCCCAACCUUGUUACACUUUAGUUUUAAAAUAUGUUUUUUUCAUUA